AUUUACUUUACUUUAUUAUUUUUUAUUAAUAUUUAUAUGUAGGAGUAUAUGUAUCCUAAUAGUAUAAUAACAUAGGUAUACGUGUAUUCUGAAAAGACUAUAUUGACUGCAUUUUAUCACACAAAUUUUUACACGGUAUUCAAGUAUAAUAGUUCACUGCAUUUAUUACACAACUUUUCUCUUUUACCAAAUUUACACAGUAAAGUUCUCUUCCUUGUUAAUUUGUGAUCUGAGAUUGUGUUUCUUUAAAAAAAAAAAAGAAUUGUGUAUGAACUUUAUUUUCUUCUAGUAUUCUCGUUUUUUUUUCUACUGCUUUAGUCUGUUCACUUUUUUUUUUUUAAUAAUAGUAUUUGUAAUCGUGUUUUUCACAUUUUUUCUUUCUUUUUUUAUGGUUAUUUUACUGAACUUUGGAUGGUUUAGUAAAUUUUCAUGUCUUCUAAACCAAAAUUUGAUUUUACUCCUACUAGGAAGAGUCCUAGAUUUGUAGAAGACAGAAGUCCCAUUUUGCUAUCAAGACCAUCUUUUGAUUUAUGAUGUUUUACUCCUUCACCACCAGUUAAGAUCAAGAGUUUGAGUAAUGUUGAAAGUGAGCAUUUUUUGAUUCAGCAAAGUGAGUCAGUUAUGAAAAAAAAAAUGAUUUUUCUAAAAAAAAUUCUUCUGUGGGAAAACUCUAUAUUAAACAUGCAGAGUGAAAAUUUGAUAAAGAAGGAUGUUACAAAGAGGAGGGCGUUUAAGAGAAAAAAAGUGGUGUGUGAGCAAAAUUCAGAUUAAGAUUUUGAAGAUGAAAUUCCAUGCAAUAAGUUAAAAAAAAAAUAAAGAUUGGCAAAGAUGAAUCAUCUCAUGGAACAAGGUCAGUAUUGAAAGAAGCUACUGACAAGAAGCUGGUUAAAAAGUUGAUAAAAAAAAAAAUCUGAAAAAGUUGCAAAGUACGAGUUCAGAGACAUCAUAUUUACUGUUGAAGAGAUGAUAGAAUUCAAUUUGAAUGCUAUUCAUCAAGAUAGCUUUUAUCAAGAAAAUAUUGAGGGUGUAAAUGAUUCUGUGAUGAAUAAUGAUGCAUACACUGAAUUAAAAAUGAAAUUGAGAAGGUAUUUGUAUAUGUAUCUGGAAUUGAUGAAAUGAAUUUUUUUCACACAAUGGCUGUUACUGGAUGUGCAUGGAAUGACACGGUGUGAUUAUGUAUUACCUGCGGAAAAAGGCUAAAAAUAGCCUUAAAUAAUCUUUUACGUAUACAACUACGUGUGUGUUUUUCAUUGAGUGGGUACUAUUAAUUGAGAAACAGUGGAAGAAUGUGCACAGGAACUUGAAUUUUAUAUCUCCAGAUCACAAGAUUUGUCAAUACAUUAGAAGUUUUAAACUUCCAGCCAAUGUUCCUUGGUAUACUGUUGACAAUGUUAUUAUACCAGUCAAUGUUAGCCAAUCUUUUCAUUGGAUUCUAGUGGUUUUUUUCCAUUAGACAGAGAUGUUUAUUUGUGUAUACCAUACCAAGAAUGUUGUUGAUCAUGUACAAUCACUUGCUAUUAUGUUGCCUUUGUUUUUGGUUGCCAAUGCAUAUGUUGAUAAGUCUUUUUUCUGAA